CAUCUGAAAGGACAAGAAGAGUGCCAUGUGUGAACUGCUGGUAUGAUAAAUUAUAGCCUACAUUUCAGCUGCAUUUCAUUUUUUACUCAUGUUGCAGAUCAUUUCUUUUAAACCUGCUCACCUGCUGAGAUAUAGUCCCUAUAUCUCAGGUCCAACCACAGACAUUUGUUUUUGACUGAAAGUCAUCAAACUAUACACACUGGAUACUCAAACUCUAAUUAGGUCAGUGUGCUGCUGUCGCUCUCUGGUCUGCAUGUCAACAUGCCAGCACCUGAAUGGAUCUAAGUGAACACUUUAUUGCUUCCCUUAUUCCACAGUCAGGGGGCUAAAAAUGACACACACACGCACACGCACACGCACACACACACACACACACACACACACACACACACACACACAUAUAUAUUACUCAACUCAUGAGCAGUCACAUAACGCUCCCUGAAAAAUGUUUGUUUUGUAUGGUUUAUGCACUUGGGUUUCGUUAUUACCCUUCUGCUUACUAUCCUGACUAACAAAAGGAAAGUAUUUCAAACAGGGAGAGCCAGAUUUCCCAACAAACAUGAAAAACAUCUGUUUGACAGGUUGCACAAAAGAUGAGGUUGUACAUCAUCUUUUUGUCAUGUGACUGUAGUACAAGUGCAAUGAAGUUAUCAGGAAACUCAGAAUGAUGAGAAUGAUAUGUGCCAAAGGCAGGGCUGUUGCUAUGCUUGAUUCUGUUAGUGAAUGGUUCAUUUUCCUGACCUUGGUGCCAAAACAAUAGUGAUUGGUUUGAAUAAGUACAAGCAAGGCUAAAUGUUUUUCUUUCUCAUAGCAGAAUGAUAUUGGCUGAAAGAAGACCAUUCUUCACAAAGCCAGACCCAUCUCUGUGUCAUUACUUCUGACUGAUUAAGACCUAGAAGUCUCUGACUCUGAAUUAUUCCACCACUCUUUCAGUGGUGGAAUAUUUAGAGGUCAAGGAUCACUCCAUCACAAGUACAAAUCCUGUAUUGAAAAGUUCUUUUUCAGUAAAAUUUGUGCAGGCAAAUAAUCAAAUAUACUGUCACCAGCCACUUUAUUGGAACCCAUACUGAUAUUGAGUCAGGACUUUCUUUGCUUUCAAACAGCCUCAUUGCUGAAACCAAAUUUUUUGACAUGCUCAGCGAUAAUUCACAGACAGGCACUCCAACCAUCAUUGAUUACUAAAGUACUACUGGAAGAACUGUCAUCACAACAGUAUUUAGAGUUUACUCCUAGAGACUGUUGUGAAAAUGCAGGAGAUUAGCAGCUUCAGAAGCAUUCAUACCAGUGGAAAAUCUUGCUGCAAAAUCACUGCAGUCACAUUUUUCUCAUUCUGAUAUUUGAUGUGAACAUUAACUAAAACUCCUGGCCUGUAUGUGCAGGAUUUUAUGUUGUACUGCUGCCGCAUGACUGGCCAAUUAGAUAUCUUCAUCAGUAUUCAGGCGUAGAGGUGCACUCAAAAAAUAAAAAAUAGAUUUCUGAUUCUAUGGAAAAAGUUUCAGCUAAAAGCUGUAUUUUUAUGUUAUUGUUGUGCUAGCUUUUAUCUUUUACUGCAGCAACUUGUCAGUUGCUGAUUUAGACACAUUUUGAAUCAAGUGUCUUUUGUUUAAUCAUGCAUGUUGGAUCCAGGACCUGUAGGUCUUUCACGGGUCUCUCCUGGAUUUAAUACAGAAUUAAAAAACUUGAUUUCAUUUUGCUGCAAUUAAAAAAAAAAAUUUUUUUUUUAAAUCAUUGUUGUUCGUUCAUUGUUAUUGAGUGGAACUGUUUUGUAUAUUUUGAUCUAUAUCAAUGCAUAUUUUAGAAACUCGUGUAGAAUCCUAUUUUGAAAUACUACUAUAGCCGUCAGACAAAAUUGGUGUAUUAAAAUUACAGUAUUUUUACUUUUUUUUAAAAUCUAAAAUCUGUAAAGUCCAGUAUUUGAAUAAAUAUACUUUCCACAUUGAACUUUGCAACACAUUGGGGUUAGUUUACUCAACUCAUAGGCAGUCACAUAAUGCUCCCUGAAAAAUGUUUGUUUUGGCAUCUAUGAUUUAUGCACUUGAGUUUCGUUAUUACCUGUCAGGGCUCCAUCCUCCGUCCCCCCACGUAAGCCCCCACAUAACCUCUUUUUCCUCUCCUCCCUCUCCCUCUAUGUUGCUGGAUGGAGCUGUCCUCCACAGCUGCCACCUGUUCAUAAUCAUUGUCAUCUACAGAACUCCGGGCAGCUGCGAUCGCUGACCCAGCUGCCCGGUUUCCCCUGUCCUGCUGCACCUACUGCAUUCUCCGGAUUCCCCGCCUGCCCUGACUUCCUCCCCCCUUGAUUCUGUUGCGCAAUAAAUCCACCCUUUCAUUCCAAA